GCCUGGCUAGCUCAGUCGGUAGAGCAUGAGACUCUUAAUCUCAGGGACGUGGGUUCCUGCCCCACGUUGGGCG
rnacentral:tRNA from 1 species